CUUGUGUCAGGCCUGACUCGGUGGUUCCAGCAGCAGCAGCAGCAGCAGCAGCAGCAGCAGCAACAAUGAUCCCCUCAGCACCGGUACAAGGAAAUUGUGAUGUCAUGAUCAUGUUGGUUCUGCAAUAGACCUGUUAUAAAAAGGGCAGCUGAAGUGCUGAGACUUCAUAAGAUCCAAGAACCGAGUGAGAAGAACAUCGUUCUCAUCACCUCCUGGUCAGAAAGAACGCCAUGAAGACUCUCUGCUUCUCUCUCGGGCUGCUGCUGUUGGUUGUCUGCUUCAGUGAUGCCAUGCCCCAUGGAGCUACUAACACCGUAGGACCUGAAGAAUGCUGCUUUUCAUUCAGCACAAAGGACAACUUUUCGGAGAACAGAGUGACUGCAAUCAUCAGAACCCAUCCUCAUUGUUCAAAUAAGGCAUUUAUAGUCUCUACUGUUGCUGGAAAGAAGAUCUGCUUUAGGGACAACUCCAAGUGGGCUGUGGAUACCUUCAACAAGUUCAACCCUGAAGGAAGCGGUUAAAAUGCUUCAGAAUAUUCUAUUCUCUAAUUGAAAUAUAAAAUUACCCUUUUUUUUGUAAAGCAUAACUGUGGUCUUGCUUUUUUCCAAAAUGGGCUUUUCACUGUGGUAAAUAUCUGUUUGUGGUUCAUACUUUGUAUGUUUUGUUCUUCUUUCAUGUCUUCUUCUUUGUUAAGGCACAGAGACUUAAUAAAGUUUUUAUUGCAAUGAA